CCUACGGGUGGCUGCAGUGGGGAAUAUUGGACAAUGGGCGAAAGCCUGAUCCAGCCAUGCCGCGUGUAUGAAGAAGGCCUUCGGGUUGUAAAGCACUUUCAGUGGGGAAGAAAGCCUUGGGGCUAAUACCCUCGAGGAAGGACAUCACCCACAGAAGAAGCACCGGCUAACUCCGUGCCAGCAGCCGCGGUAAUACGGAGGGUGCGAGCGUUAAUCGGAAUUACUGGGCGUAAAGCGCGCGUAGGCGGUCUGAUAAGCCGGUUGUGAAAGCCCCGGGCUCAACCUGGGAACGGCAUCCGGAACUGUCAGGCUAGAGUGCAGGAGAGGAAGGUAGAAUUCCCGGUGUAGCGGUGAAAUGCGUAGAGAUCGGGAGGAAUACCAGUGGCGAAGGCGGCCUUCUGGACUGACACUGACGCUGAGGUGCGAAAGCGUGGGUAGCAAACAGGAUUAGAUACCCGGGUAGUC
rnacentral:rRNA from 1 species